CUGAAGUGCCUGCUGCGGGCCAGGCCCAGACCGAGGUUCUCUAGGAUCUGAGAAGAGCGAGUCUCAACUCUCACCGAGCUCAGGCUGGUGGGAGAAGAAUGUGGUAUCUGGACGAUAACAUGCGAUGGAGUGAGAACCACUGGUGAGAGGAGAAAACUGAUGCAAAGAAACUUGAAGUGAUUUGUCCAGGAUCAUAGAGCUGGCCGCCCCGUUCGCCCCUGACCCGGAUCAGCGAGUCCAGCGCCGGGCCAUCCAGGCACGUGAAGUUCCGCAGCAGUGCCCACUUGUCGCGCUGGAAUCUCUCGCUGGAAUCGUGAGCCGCUGGGCUCUCCAGCAUCCAGAACACGCCCGUGCCCAGUAUCAGAUGAGGGACCCCACCUGAUCACCACUGUUCCAUGAACUUCGGAAGCAAGAGGAGACUUGACCAGUGGGCUUGUCCAUUUCCUGCUUCUGAAGAUGCCCCUUUAUUCCCAUCCGGAAUGGAGGAAGGGUCCAGGUGGCAUCCUGUGGGGCGGAGGACACGCGGAGCUGACACCUUGACUGCUCUGGCCAUCACUGUCUACGUGAGUAACAAACUGUCUGAAUCUGUCAGCCCUGCCUGGACUCUUCCUGAGUCACAUGGGAUGGCCCUCAUCACCGUCCAGUGGCUGGAUGCCCGUGGGCACCGGCAGUGGCUGACGCCUCACUCACUGACCACGCCAUGAGGAAGGGUUCCUAGCUGGAGAACAGACAGAACCCGGGGGCGCUGUGAACGUGACUGAACCAAUGACGUCUUCAUUUUUCCUAAUUUCUACCUGCAAUUUAGCAUUUUUCCAACAACUGAAUGUAGACAACGAACCACAGUAGUCUGUGGUGGUACGAGAGGCUCUGCCAUCAGGAGAAAUUACAGAUGUUUUCAGAUUACAUUACAGCUGUUGCAGAAACCUUGCAAUAUUGUGUUCAUCACUGCUUUGAAAUUAUGGUAACUGUCGAGCCCCUAGAUCUUAUUAAUUAAUGCAUUUGUAAAAUGACAUACAUAUUACUAUACCGUAACUUUGUUAUUAAAAUAUCAUGAUAACUGUAUUUCCAUCUUGUGCAUUUAACUUUAUCCAAAUAUGCUUUUCCCUUGUCUAGUCACAAGGCCUCUUGGUAACGUGUGGGUUACUGCUUGGCUGUGUCCUUGGAAAAUUUGUCCUCUGGCUCUCAGUUUCCCUGUCCUUACAAUGAAGCGAUCAGCCUGUAAGGUAACCCCUGAGGGGUCUGCCAGCCACACAAGUGAUCCGAUUAUGUGUAUUUCAUCUUUAUUGUACACAGCGAGGGUCACGUGAGGUCAGAACUGGGGGUUCAUACUAACACCUCUUAAUAGGCUAUUUUAGGCUUCAUAAUAUUAUAGAGAACUUCUAGGAAUCUGUUUAGGAAAUAUGCAAACAUGUAUAUUCAGAAAUGUUUCCAGUGACACAACCCCAAAACAACCUAAACAUUAAACAAUAGGAGAUUAAAUACAUUAAAAUAAAUCCAUGUGCUUGAACAGUGACAGCCAUUGGAAUGAUGUCAUGGAAUAAUGACAUGGAAGAGUUGGCAUGUGUACAAUGAAGUAAAAAUAAAAGCCGUUUGUGAUUCUUGAAGACCAAUAUGAUUCCAUUUUUAUAAAGGUAUAUGGAUGUAUAUGCAUGAAAAUACAAAAAAUAAAAUCCAACAUGUUAUCAUUGGUUAUCCUUAA